AUCAUUUUUCUUCUCGGGGAAGGUGAACAUUUAUAGCAUUGAUUUCCCGGAUCUGGUAACAUGGCAAAAGCUGCCAGUCUAACUGAAGCCAACGGAGAACUCAAGGUCUUCAUGGACCAGAACCUUAGUCUGGGAAAAGGUGUGAUGUCCCUCGAGGCCGUCCACCCCUCCACAGUCAACCUGCUCGGGAAACAGCUCUUGCCAAAAACCUUUGAACAGUCCAAUGUCAACAUUACUCAGCAUAUGGUAGUUGGUACUCUUCAGAGACCGACAGAGUCAAACACCCUCGUGGUAGGAAGCCCACACACCCCCAGUACUCACUUUGCCUCUCAGAACCAGCCUUCAGAUUCCUCAUCUUGGUCUGCCCGGAAGCACAGCAGUAAAGGAGGGAAGAAAGGCAAGGUCCGGCAGCAUUUCCUCAUUAAGGUCUAUGAGAAGGUGCAGAGGAAAGGGACCAUUUCCUGCAACGAAGUGGUGGACAAGCUGCCGACAACCACAUCUUACCAAACCAGUCAGCUUAUGACCAGGAGAACAUAAGACGGCGUGUCUACAAUACCUUAAAUGUGCUGAUGGCCAUGAACAUCAUCUCCAAGAAGAAGGAGAUCAGAUUGAUUGGUCUGCCCACCACCUCGGCUCAGGAAUGUCAGAACUUAGAGGCGGAAAGACAGAGGAGACUUGAAAGUAUAAAACCGAAACAGUCUUGACUUCAAGAACGUAUUCUAUAGCAAAUUGUCUUCAAGAAACUGGUGCGGAGAAGUCGACACACUGAGGAGUAGGCCAGCUGGCCGCUGCCACCCAACUCAAACACCCACCUGCUCUUCAUAAUCAUCAACACCAGGAAGUAGACCGUCAUCGACUGUAGCAUCUACGACAAAUUUGAGUAUCUGUUUAAUUUUGACAACACAUUCGAAAUCCAUGAUGACAUAGACGUGCUGAAGUGGAUGGGCAUGGUGUGUGGGCUGGAGUCGGGGAGCUGCUCUGCUGAAGACCUUAAAAUGACCAGAAGUCUGGUCCCAAAGGCUCUGGAGCCCUACGUGACAGAAAUGACUCAGGGAACUGUUGAAAAUGUGUUCAUCACUACGGCAGGUUCCACGUCUAACGGCACGAGGUUCUCUGCCAGUGGCCUGACGAAUGGUGCAGACGGGAUGCUGGCCACAAGCUCCAACGGGUCUCAGUACAGUGGCUCCAGGGUGGAGACCCCAGUGUCCUGCGUCGGGGAAGACGACGAAGACGAUGACGACUUCAAUGAGAAUGACGAGGAUGACUGACAUCCUCCCCGCUUCAGAUUCAGCUUCAGGAAAACGUUUAGGGAAAAGAAACUUUUUUUUUUUAAAUGUGGGUUUUCUGUUUCCUUUUGGCCUACUCCCAAGAAGAUAUUGGUAAGCUAUUGAAUUUAGAUGUGCACCUCUGAUAAGCAAGGAUUGUUUCCCGUAGGAUUAGGACGUGCUGUGGAUGUGUGUUUUGAUACCAGUGUGCUGAUGCAGAGCGUUUAUUUUACUAUUUAGGAUUUUGUGUUUUCAUUUUUCUGGUUUUCUCUAAGUGCAGAGUUCAUUUUUGCCCCUGAACAGUUUUUGCUGAGUCUUUGCUAAAGAACUUGUAUUUCAUCCACAUCCAUGAAAAUAAAACACCCUCCUGGGGUGGAUGGUGAGAACCUGAAGCCAUUUAUUUGCCGUGAGUUUGGACGAAACCCCCGCUGGUGGAUAGCCAGGACUCUAUGGAGUGUUCCAUUCGUUCAGUGGUAUGGUGUCCAGAACCCCAAGCAAACAACAGAAUUCUACUUUCUCAAUAAGAAACACCAUCA